rnacentral:rRNA from 1 species
UCGAGAAUAUUUCGCAAUGGGCGAAAGCCUGACGAAGCGACGCCGCGUGAAUGAUGAAGGCCUUCGGGUUGUAAAGUUCUGUCGCCCCAGAACAAGAAGCGUUGGAGAAUAUCCAAUGAAGAUGAGUGUAUGGGGAAAGGAAGCACCGGCUAAUUCCGUGCCAGCAGCUGCGGUAAUACGGAAGGUGCAAGCGUUAGUCGGAAUUAUUGGGCGUAAAGGGUGCGUAGGCUGAAAUGUAAGUCGGACGUGAAAUUCUGAGGCUUAACCUCAGAGCUGCAUCCGAAACUGCAAUUCUAGAGGAAUGGCGGAGAAGACGGAAUUCCAUGUGUAGCGGUGAAAUGCGUAGAUAUAUGGAAGAACACCUGUGGCGAAAGCGGUCUUCUAGCCUAAUCCUGACGCUGAGGCACGAAAGCAAGGGGAGCAAACAGGAUUAGAUACCCGCGUAGUCC